UUUCUUAGGGUAGAGUGCACCUGGACUGGAAAGAUGAAACAGCAAGAAUUGCCUUUUUUGUUGUGAAGAGACAUGGAGCUGGAUGCUGGCACUUGGUGUUUGGAGUUCACUCAGCUGUGGGAGAAGGCUGCAGCUGCCCAAAGCCUGGGAUGAGAAAACAUGGUUCCUGUACCAGAAUAAGUAUUAGAAACAAGAGCAAUCUCUGAAUUUGAGUAUCAACCCAGAACUUUGAUGAAAGUCAAGGUAAAUGUAAAGGUAACCAUAUUUUUUUGCUGAAAUUUGUCUUUGAGCAUAUGUGCUUCC
rnacentral:lncRNA from 1 species